rnacentral:lncRNA from 1 species
AAAAUCUCAAACCAUCUGAAUUCAACUACGUCGGCGACCAUUGUAGGCCAGAAAAAUAAAUCGACGAAGCUUCCAAUCAACGAUGAGAGUCGCCGGCAAAAUCAUACAGGAUUCUAAAUCUACUACAAUUUCGCCGUGUUCUCGUACCUACGUCGGCAGCGAACGACUACAAGAAGAACUAUUAUUGUGCUAAUUUUUAUCAGUACGUUCGGCUCAUACAAAUAGUCAUGUUUAAAACCUACUACAUCUUUUUCAAAAAACCAACCCUAACUUUUUUUGUGUGUGUGUUUUUGUUGUACAGGGGAACGACAGAUGAAAACGACGAAAUUUUUUUGACUCCUGGACACAGGUUAAUAAAUCUAAAAUAUUUUUAAAUUAUUUAGUCGAAUUUGAUAAUUACAAUUCUAGUUGUAUUAUUUGUUAUUUAUAAUAUGAAGUAUGUUUUGUUACACAAAUGGGUUUGAAAAACCUGCUGCACAAGUUGUGUGAAGUUUGUGGUUUCUAGUUAAUAUUUUUUUACAGUUGAUUACAAAGACAAGUUUGAAUAGGAUGUGAUUGGGAACGAUAUUGGAACUUUAUUUUUAAGAAAAUAGUAGUUUAUGAAUAAUAGUUGUUUAAAGUAUUUGUUGAUGUUAAAUUUGUAUCCUAAUGUUGACUAUAUG